UACAGAGGUCUCAAGCGUUGUUCGGAUUCAUUGGGCGUAAAGGGUGCGUAGCGGCGCGCUAAGUCAGGUGUGAAAUUUCGGAGCUUAACUCCGAAACUGCAUUUGAUACUGGCGUGCUUGAGGACUGGAGAGGAGACUGGAAUUCAUGGUGUAGCAGUGAAAUGCGUAGAGAUCAUGAGGAAGACCAGUGGCGAAGGCGGGUCUCUGGACAGUUCCUGACACUGAGGCACGAAGGCCAGGGGAGCAAACGGG
rnacentral:rRNA from 1 species